UACGGAGGGUGCGAGCGUUGUCCGGAAUCACUGGGCGUAAAGGACGCGUAGGCGGCCUGAUAAGUAGGGGGUGAAAUCCUGCGGCUUAACCGCAGGGCUGCCUUCUAAACUGUCAGGCUAGAGCACAGUAGAGGCAGGUGGAAUUCCCGGUGUAGCGGUGGAAUGCGUAGAGAUCGGGAAGAACAUCAGUGGCGAAGGCGGCCUGCUGGGCUGUUGCUGACGCUGAGGCGCGACAGCGUGGGGAGCAAACAGG
rnacentral:rRNA from 1 species